UUAUAAUUUUUAGAGCUUGUUUGGGCAAUUUUUGCAAAAAUGAUCAAUUAUAAGGACUAAAUUGAAAUUUUUCCAUAUUGUGAUGAAUGAUUGAUUUGAUGGGCCCAGGAUGGGCUGUGUGAUGUGAUUGAGUUGUGGAUAUAUGGAUUGUGGAUAUAGAAGUGUGUUUUGAGCCCUUUUGCAGGUUGGGUAGGUCCUAGGUAUAGGGGAGACUCUGCCGGAUUUUCGGCAUGACUUAGGACGUAUUUGGUCUUUUCUUUAUUUGUAUUGAGUCAUUUGUGUUAAAUAAAUGUAAUGUAAUUGUCAGGUGAGCCGGGACAGCCUUCUUCCUCCGCCCAGCCGCCACAGUGAUUGUCGUCAAGUCUGCCACAGGAGGAUAUUUUUUUGAGGUUAACCUGCUUUCUCCCUCGCAGGUCGAUUACUACUGUUUGUAUAAACUUGUUAAAUCUUAGAAUUUCCGCAUGUGUUAGAAAUGUUUAUUUGAUUUGGGUCUGUAAACUAAAUUAUUAUUUUUGGACCUGUAAACUUAAAUGUGCUAUGCAUGUUUGAUGGAUUGGAUGAGGGAGCUGAGCUCCCAUUUAUUUUAUGUUGAUGAGUAUGUGGAGGGUGAGCUGAGCUCCCCAAUUGACUA